rnacentral:sRNA from 1 species
AUCUAAAUUGUAAUAAUGGAGCAACAGUACAUGAGCUUCCAGAGGCCCUUAUUAGUCCUUGUUGACAGAAACAUAGAUUUGGCAACUCCUUUACAUCAUACUUGGACAUAUCAAGCAUUGGUGCACGAUGUACUGGAUUUCCAUUUAAACAGGGUUAAUUUGGAAGAAUCUUCAGGAGUGGAAAACUCUCCAGCUGGUGCUAGACCAAAGAGAAAAAACAAGAAGUCUUAUGAUUUAACUCCGGUUGAUAAAUUUUGGCAAAAACAUAAAGGAAGUCCAUUCCCAGAAGUUGCAGAAUCAGUUCAACAAGAACUAGAAUCUUACAGAGCACAGGAAGAUGAGGUCAAACGACUUAAAAGCAUUAUGGGACUAGAAGGGGAAGAUGAAGGAGCCAUAAGUAUGCUUUCUGACAAUACCGCUAAGCUAACAUCAGCUGUUAGUUCUUUGCCAGAACUCCUUGAGAAAAAAAGACUUAUUGAUCUCCAUACAAAUGUUGCCACUGCUGUUUUAGAACAUAUAAAGGCAAGAAAAUUGGAUGUAUAUUUUGAAUAUGAAGAAAAAAUAAUGAGCAAAACUACUCUGGAUAAAUCUCUUCUAGAUAUAAUAUC